rnacentral:rRNA from 1 species
UGCAAAGCCGAAGCGGUAUUGUUUCUUCGGAAAUGAGAGAGCGGCGUACGGGUGCGGAACACGUGUGCAACCUGCCUUUAUCUGGGGGAUAGCCUUUCGAAAGGAAGAUUAAUACUCCAUAAUAUAUUGAUUGGCAUCAAUUAAUAUUGAAAGCUCCGGCGGAUAGAGAUGGGCACGCGCAAGAUUAGCUAGUUGGUGAGGUAACGGCUCACCAAGGCGAUGAUCUUUAGGGGGCCUGAGAGGGUGAUCCCCCACACUGGUACUGAGACACGGACCAGACUCCUACGGGAGGCAGCAGUGAGGAAUAUUGGUCAAUGGGUGCAAGCCUGAACCAGCCAUCCCGCGUGAAGGACGACUGCCCUAUGGGUUGUAAACUUCUUUUGUAUAGGGAUAAACCUAUCCUCGUGAGGGUAGCUGAAGGUACUAUACGAAUAAGCACCGGCUAACUCCGUGCCAGCAGCCGCGGUAAA